rnacentral:rRNA from 1 species
UACAGAGGGUGCAAGCGUUGUUCGGAAUUACUGGGCGUAAAGGGCGUGUAGGCGGCUUAGCAAGUCAGAUGUGAAAUCCCGGGGCUUAACUUCGGAAGUGCAUUUGAAACUGCUAGGCUAGAGUGAAGUAGAGGUUGGUGUAAUUCCCAGUGUAGAGGUGAAAUUCGUAGAUAUUGGGAGGAACACCGGUGGCGAAGGCGGCCAACUGGGCUUUAACUGACGCUGGGGCGCGAAAGCGUGGGGAGCAAACAGG